UUUCCGUAGGUGAACCUGCGGAAGGAUCAUUACCGAGGGCCCCUCCCCGACGCAGCCAUGCGUCGCCGAAGGGGCUAUUCUCACCACCCUUUUUUAUACGUACCUCUUAUUCUUCCUCGGCGGGGCAACCUGCCGAUGGAACACACAUCAUAACCUCUUUGCAUCCAGCAUUACUUGUUCUGAUACCCUAAAUUUUACAACUUUCAACAAUGGAUCUCUUGGCUCUG
rnacentral:misc_RNA from 1 species